rnacentral:rRNA from 1 species
GACCUGACUGCUAUCGGAUUGAUACUAAGCCAUGCGAGUCAUUGUAGUAAUACAAGGCAGACGGCUCAGUAACGCGUAGUCAACCUAACCUAUGGACGGGAAUAACCUCGGGAAACUGAGUAUAAUUCCCGAUAGAACAUUAUGCCUGGAAUGGUUUAUGUUCCAAAUGAUUUAUCGCCGUAGGAUGGGACUGCGGCCUAUCAGUUUGUUGGUGAGGUAAUGGCCCACCAAGACUAUUACAGGUACGGGCUCUGAGAGGAGUAGCCCGGAGAUGGGUACUGAGACACGGACCCAGGCCCUAUGGGGCGCAGCAGGCGAGAAAACUUUGCAAUGUGCGAAAGCACGACAAGGUUAAUCCGAGUGGUUUGUGCUAAACGAACCUUUUGUUAGUCCUAGAAACACUAACGAAUAAGGGGUGGGCAAGUUCUGGUGUCAGCCGCCGCGGUAAAACCAGCACCUCAAGUGGUCAGGAUGAUUAUUGGGCCUAAAGCAUCCGUAGCCGGCUCUGUAAGUUUUCGGUUAAAUCUGUACGCUCAACGUACAGGCUGCCGGGAAUACUGCAGAGCUAGGGAGUGGGAGAGGUAGACGGUACUCGGGAGGAAGGGGUAAAAUCCUUUGAUCUUUCGAUGACCACCUGUGGCGAAGGCGGUCUACCAGAACACGUCCGACGGUGAGGGAUGAAAGCUGGGGGAGCAAACCGGAUUAGAUACCCGGGUAGUCCCAGCUGUAAACUAUGCAAACUCAGUGAUGCAUUGACUUGUGGUCAAUGCAGUGCUGCAGGGAAGCCGUUAAGUUUGCCGCCUGGGAAGUACGUACGCAAGUAUGAAACUUAAAGGAAUUGGCGGGGGAGCACCACAAGGGGUGAAGCCUGCGGUUCAA